rnacentral:lncRNA from 1 species
AGUAGAAAUAUAUAAUUCCUGUUCUAAAUAUAUACUGUAUUCUGUUACAGCCUCUUAAUCCCUAAUGGAAACCUGUUUGUGUUGACUGUAUGUUUGGGAGUGAUGGUUCCAUUCGUCUGUGCUGCAGUGACUCUGAUAAUGCUGCUGAAAAAAAAAUACAAACGGAAAUCAUUUAAAGGGCAUGACCAUGCUGAAAAUAUUUAUGUCAGCAUGCGCCUUAAACCACAGUCAGAAAAGCCAAAACAAUGUGAAGAAAAAAAGGGUGAAGAAGACGAAACCUAUGUAACGAUGUCAGGAAUGCAGAAAUCCCUACAGGUGGGAUCUUGAUUUGGCCUCUGUGCUGCACUUUUCUGCCUGGCCAGAUGGAGGCAGCGUAACAAAUGGAGUACAGGCUGUUCUGACCCUCCUGCACCAGCUGAGUGGACUUCACAUUUGCCUUUGUCUUAUUAGACGACUAAACUAAACAAAUGUUAAAAAAAAUUCAAUGGCUUCUUUUAAUACAUUGUAUGAUGUUUUAGUUGUUGAUUUAGUUUGGAUUGCUCUUUUGCAGUGUAUGCUGUAGACUGCUUAUAUUAACAAUGCUUUCCAACUUCAAUUUCAAUAUCUGCAUGUACAGCUCCGGAAACAAAUUAAGAGACCACUUCAAAAUGAAUGUUUUCUUAAGUAUCAUGAUGAUUUGUAACCCUGUCAUGGCCAGCCCUAUCUCCAAACCCAAAUUAAAAUCUCUGGAAUCUGAAACCAGGAGUGGCAUAAGGUCACCCAAAAGCAGUGUGUAAGACUGGUGGAGGAGAACAUGCCAAGACGCAUUAAAGCCAUGAAUAAAAUCAGGGUUAUUGAGCCA